UACAGAGGUGGCAAGCGUUGUUCGGAAUCACUGGGCUUAAAGGGCGCGUAGGCGGGCCGGUAAGUCCGGGGUGAAAUCCUGCAGCUCAACUGCAGAAGUGCCUCGGAUACUGCCGGCCUCGAGGGAGGUAGGGGCAUGUGGAACUUCCGGUGGAGCGGUGAAAUGCGUAGAUAUCGGAAGGAACGCCGGUGGCGAAAGCGACGUGCUGGACCUCUACUGACGCUGAGGCGCGAAAGCCAGGGGAGCAAACGGG
rnacentral:rRNA from 1 species